rnacentral:rRNA from 1 species
AACAAACGCUGGCGGCGUGCCUAAUACAUGCAAGCCGAACGGGGAAAGCUUUCGGGUGAGUACUAGUGGCGCACGGGUGAGUAACGCGUGGAUAAUCUGCCUUAGAGUGGGGGAUAACUAGUCGAAAGAUUAGCUAAUACCGCAUAAGACCACAAGAACUGCGGUUCAAGAGGUCAAAGGUUUUUCGCUCUAAGAUGAGUCCGCGUAAGAUUAGCUAGUUGGUGAGGUAACGGCUCACCAAGGCAACGAUCUCUAACUGGUCUGAGAGGAUGAUCAGUCACACUGGAACUGAGACACGGUCCAGACUCCUGCGGGAGGCAGCAGUAGGGAAUAUUGCACAAUGGAGGAAACUCUGAUGCAGCGACGCCGCGUGGGUGAUGAAGGCCUUCGGGUCGUAAAGCUCUGUCGCAGGGGAAUAACACAAUGAAUGUACCCUGUAAGAAAGGAUCGGCUAACUUCGUGCCAGCAGCCGCCGUAACAC